AAACCAACAGGGAUUGCCCUAGUAACGGCGAGUGAAGCGGCAACAGCUCAAAUUUGAAAUCUGGCCCUAGCGGUCCGAGUUGUAAUUUGUAGAGGAUGCUUUUGGUGAGGUGCCUUCCGAGUUCCCUGGAACGGGACGCCGGAGAGGGUGAGAGCCCCGUACGGUUGGACGCCAAACCUCUGUAUAGCUCCUUCGACGAGUCGAGUAGUUUGGGAAUGCUGCUCUAAAUGGGAGGUAAAUUUCUUCUAAAGCUAAAUACCGGCCAGAGACCGAUAGCGCACAAGUAGAGUGAUCGAAAGAUGAAAAGCACUUUGAAAAGAGGGUUAAAUAGCACGUGAAAUUGUUGAAAGGGAAGCGUUUGCGACCAGACCUUUUCCAGGCGGAUCAUCCGGCGUUCUCGCCGGUGCACUCCGCCUGGUUGAGGCCAGCAUCGGUUUCCUUAGGGGGAUAAAGGCCUGGGGAACGUAGCUCCUUCGGGAGUGUUAUAGCCCCUGGCGCAAUACCCCUCGGGGGACCGAGGACCGCGCUUCGGCAAGGAUGCUGGCGUAAUGGUCGUCAACGAC
rnacentral:rRNA from 1 species